rnacentral:misc_RNA from 1 species
UGGUUCCGGCAUCGAUGAAGAACGCAGCGAAAUGCGAUAAGUAAUGCGAAUUGCAGAAUUCCGUGAGUCAUCGAAUCUUUGAACGCAUAUUGCGCCCUCUGGUAUUCCGGAGGGCAUGCCUGUUCGAGCGUCAGUACAACCAAAACAAGCUCCGCUUGGUAUUGGACCCUCAAUUCGCGAGAGAGACGGUUAACAGCCUUGUCCUUUUUCGCGGGUCUGAAAGGUAGUGGCGGCCCCUGUUCGGCUUCAAGCGCAGUUGGAAAAUUACAAAUCUUUCUCGCUUUGGAGGACUGAAUGGGGUGAAUUCUGUCUUAAAAUUAUCAUAUAAUUCAAGGUGGACCUCGGAUCAGGUAGGAAUACCCGCUGA